rnacentral:rRNA from 1 species
AUUGAACGCUGGCGGCGUGCUUAACACAUGCAAGUCGAUCGGUAACGCGGGGGCAACCCUGGCGACGAGAGGCGGACGGGUGAGGAACGCUUGGGGAUCUGCCUAUCAGCGGGGGACAACACGGGGAAACUCGUGCUAAUACCGCAUACGCUCUACGGAGGAAAGCCGGGGACCGCAAGGCCUGGCACUGAUAGAUGAGCCCAAGCCGGAUUAGCUAGUUGGCGGGGUAACGGCCCGCCAAGGCGACGAUCCGUAGCUGGUCUGAGAGGACGAUCAGCCACACUGGGACUGAGACACGGCCCAGACUCCUGCGGGAGGCAGCAGUGGGGAAUAUUGGACAAUGGGGGAAACCAUGAUCCAGCGACGCCGCGUGGGUGAAGAAGGCCUGCGGGUUGUACAGCCCUUUCGGUAGGGACGAAAGCUCUCGACCUAACACGUCGGGAGGUUGACUUAACCUACAAAAGAAGCACCGGCUAACUCUGUGCCAGCCGCCGCAGUAACAC